rnacentral:rRNA from 1 species
GAUGAACGCUAGCUACAGGCUUAACACAUGCAAGUCGAGGGGCAGCAUGAACUUAGCUUGCUAAGUUUGAUGGCGACCGGCGCACGGGUGAGUAACGCGUAUCCAACCUGCCCUUGUCCAUCGGAUAACCCGUCGAAAGGCGGACUAACACGGUAUGCAGUCCACAGCAGGCAUCUAACGUGGACGAAAUGUGAAGGAGAAGGAUGGGGAUGCGUCGGAUUAGCUUGUUGGCGGGGUAACGGCCCACCAAGGGGACGAUCAGUAGGGGUUCUGAGAGGAAGGUCCCCCACAUUGGAGCUGAGACACGGUCCAAACUCCGACGGGAGGCAGCGGUGAGGAAUAUUGGUCAAUGGACGGAAGUCUGAACCAGCCGAGUAGCGUGCAGGAUGACGGCCCUAUGGGUUGUAAACUGCUUUUAUAUGGGGAUAAAGUGAGUCACGUGUGGCUUAUUGCAGGUACCAUAUGAAUAAGGACCGGCUAAUUCCGUGCCAGCCGCCGCCGUAA